rnacentral:rRNA from 1 species
GAACCGUCCAAACGUUUAUUCGGAAUUACUGGGCUUAAAGGGUGCGUAGGCGGCGCGACAAGUCAGAUGUGAAAUCCCUCGGCUCAACCGAGGAAUUGCGUUUGAAACUGUCGUGCUUGAGGGAGACAGAGGUGAGCGGAACUGAUGGUGGAGCGGUGAAAUGCGUUGAGAUCAUCAGGAACACCGGUGGCGAAGGCGGCUCACUGGGUCUCUUCUGACGCUGAGGCACGAAAGCUAGGGGGAGCGAACGGGAUUAGAUACCCCGGUAGUCCUAGCUGUAAACGAUGAGAACUUGAUUGAAGACCCUCCCCAUAGGUUUUCGGUCGAAGCGAAAGUGUUAAGUUCUCCGCCUGGGGAGUAUGUCCGCAAGGAUG